ensembl:snoRNA SNORD115 Small nucleolar RNA SNORD115
GGAUUAGAAAAGAAAAAUUAUAUUAUCGUCAAGAGAGAUGAUGGUCUAAAAAUCAUGCUCAACAGGAUUGUGCUGAAGCAC